rnacentral:other from 1 species
GGUCUCGUACUGCAAUUUAAAAGAACUCAAUUAUCAAUGAAAACCCCCUCGAGAUCUG